rnacentral:lncRNA from 1 species
GGAUCUACAGUUUUCCGGCGGGAAUCGUCGUCGACGUGAUUCUCCAGAACGCGAACGUAUUGAAAGGGAAAAUCAGCGAGAUACAUCCGUGGCAUCUUCACGGUCACGAUUUCUGGGUUUUGGGUUACGGCGAAGGGAAAUUCAGACCUGGAAUCGACGAGAAGACGUAUAAUCUGGAGAAUCCGCCGUUACGGAAUACGGUUGCUCUGUAUCCUUUUGGAUGGACGGCGUUAAGAUUCGUGACGGAUAAUCCUGGGGUUUGGUUUUUUCAUUGUCACAUUGAACCGCAUUUGCAUAUGGGUAUGGGUGCGGUUUUCGCUGAGGGAGUGGACCGGAUCCGUGAGAUGGAUAUACCGAACGAAGCGCUCGGUUGUGGGUUAACCAUGAAAUGGCUCAUGAACCGGGGUCGCCGUUAGUUUGUUGGAUGUAUUUGUGUAUGUAUGUGUUUUUUUUUUACCUCAUACGGUUGUUAAAUAAUUUUCUGGACAAACAUAACGUUUUAAUUCAGGCUUUUUAUCAACUCGAUUGGAAAACAUUAGUGAUUAUUUAACAAAGAAAUCACAAAGAGACCAUUUCGAAAGAUCAAAGAAAAAUGUAUUCUCUUAUCGACUUAGGAUCAUCUCUUAUUUCUGUAAUUGAUUUAAGAGCUCUUAAAACACUGAUUAAGAUAACUUAUUGGGGAUCUUAAAUUUUCAUACUUAUAAAUAAAAAGUAUAGAAAUCUGUUGUGUCUCAGGAAUGAGUUUUAAUUUGUCAACAACUUUACACAUACGACCUAUUGAAUUUAACACUCAUUUGAUGAUACACCCAAUUCGCUAAGUGAGAUCUUCACAAGUAUUAUAAAUUUGUAUGAACAUGCAAACUUCUGAACCGACUAAGAUUAGUAUAGGUCGCCAGAAGUAUUUAACACGGAAUAAAAAGAACUUUAAUGAGAAAGAUAAGAAUACAGAGUGUCUUAAAGAUAGUCUACUCCACGAAUCAUUGUGGUGUCCCAAUGAGACCAUCCAAAUUCGAGAUACAGGGUGGUAACCAUUGCUUCCCAGAUCACCAAGGAAAAAGGUACUCCAAAAGAAAAAAAGUAUAUUACUAUAAUUUAUUUGAUUAAUUUGUUAGUAGGUUUCGCCAGUUUUUUCGUCGAGCUUUCGUCAAUUUACCCUUUUUAUCAUCAUUUCCACAUUUCAAACACUUUAUAAGAGUUGAAUGUGAAUUGACAUAAUAACCACAUUAAUUUAUAAGUUUAAACCGUUAGACUACAUAUUUUUAUCGUUUAUGUUUUGUAGAUUUAAAUUCAAAACUAGUAAAAAAAAUUCAGAAAUUGAACUAUUUGUCAACAUUUGCGCUGAGAUGAGGUCGGGAAAAGCGGAAAAGGGAAAGGUUAAAGGAGAAAGACCAAUGUCAUUGUAAACAACUUAUAGACGUGAAGCGUGGGUGUAGAGUUCUAUAAUUUCUUUUAAUUUGACACGAUAAAAUAUGUUGGGUGUUGGCAAAUAUAUAAUAUGAUCGAUUCUAAUAUAUAAAAUAAUAUACACAAGAAAGAAGGAGAUUUAAUUUUGACAUCUACCUAAAAUAUAUGCCUUUUUGUGAUUAAUUAACUUUACUGGCAUUACAUGUUCAAAACCUACCAAUAGGUGAGCUUGAUAUAGUUGGCAUUAUAAAGAUUGUGAUCGUGAUCUAAUCUUCUAAGAAAAAUUCAACGGAUCACCGCUAAAAACAUGUAUCAUGAGAUCACCUACCCUUCCAAAUCUUCUUUAGAUAUUUCGAUUGUUUACACGAUCGUAAUUAUGUCCAUCAAUCUUGUGACCAAACUAAAAAACCCCUCCAAAAAAAAAAAAAAGAGAUAUCACUUUUGACCAAAAAACCCAAUCGAUGGUUUUGCCCAUUACCUCUGCCUCUCUCUCUUCCUCUAUAUAUACUUCUGCAAUGACCAAACAUCAUCAUAUAUACACAUGAGCCAAUAAUGGGUGUGUGGUGGAUAGUGGUGGUGGCUAUCUUGGCUCACACGGCGUCUGCCGCCGUGAGAGAGUAUGAUUGGGAGGUUGAGUACAAGUUCGGGUGGCCCGACUGCAAAGAAGGCAUGGUCAUGGCCAUUAACGGUCAGUUUCCUGGCCCCACCAUACGUGCCGUCGCCGGAGACACCAUCGUCGUCCACUUAACCAACAAACUCGCCACCGAAGGCCUUGUCAUCCAUUGGCAUGGAAUUCGUCAGGUUCUCUACCUUUUUUCUCUUUCUUCUAUUAACUAUGAAAUCUACACUAAGUAGAUUAAUCUCAAUAGAUGAUGUUCUUUACAUGUAUAAUUUAUAUUAAAAAAACAAAUCACCCAUUUUUUUCCUCGUAUAUGUCACUUUUUAAAGAAGAAACUGUUUUUAAACACUAGAGGAUUAAUGGAGACACUGAGUGAUCAUCACUCUGCUCACCAUAUUAACUCGUUAAUUCUGAUCUUAAUUAAGCAUCAAAUAAUUGUUUCGACAGUAUAUAGAUAAAUAUUAGUAAUUGGUUUGUCGUGAGAGGAUAAAGAAUAAAGAAAAUGGGUAAAGAUGCAGAAAUAAUGGUUUCGAAGCACAUGCCAUUCAUGACUGACUCUGUCUCUUCUGUAGAAAAAAAUCACUACAUUUACGACUCUUCCUUCGGAUGUUGGUUUCUUCCUAUGGACUCUAUUUAUUUUUAAAAAUUAUCAUAGAAAGUAAUAAUUAAGCUUAGUACAUAUUUCUAGGAGAUUCCGUUUAAAACAGGGAUUAAUUCUCACUUGUGACACUAUACUCUAUAUCUUGUGCUCUUUUACAUGCAACUCGCUAAAAUCCAUAUAAAAACAAUAAUGAAUUAAUCAAUUGCGUUUUUUGUUGUUGUUGUGAAUAGUUGGGAAGUCCAUGGGCUGAUGGAGCAGCGGGAAUAACACAAUGUGCAAUAAACCCUGGCGAGACUUUUACCUACAAAUUCAUUGUUGACAAGGUAAUUUUCUUAAGAUAAGAUAUUAAAAUGGGAAGAGAGAGCCAAAUGUAUAAUGUUAUUUGUGGAAAAUGAUACGGUGCAGCCGGGAACACACGUGUACCAUGGACACUACGGUAUGCAGAGAUCGGCGGGACUAUACGGAUCGUUGAUAAUCGACGUGGCGAAAGGAAAGAGAGAGCCAUUGAGAUACGAUGGAGAGUUUAAUCUUUUACUAAGCGAUUGGUGGCAUGAGAGUAUUCUCUCUCAAGAACUCGGUCUCUCUUCCCGACCUAUGCGCUGGAUCGGUGAAGCUCAGGUACGGUUUGUUUUUUUUAUUUAUUUCAAACAACUCUUACUUUUUCUGCUUUAAAAACAAAUAAAUAAGGUCCAUAUUCUCCCUUUUUUAAUAGUGGAGAUUGAUUUAGAUUAGAGCAUAGACACGAGCAAUAAUAUUGGCUUUCUUUAUUUCUUUUAUUCAAAGCAAAUUCUAAAGCUACUUUUCUAAUAUGAAUAAAUCAUUUUACGUAUCUUCUUCAAUGUGGUGUGAUUAGAUUGGCCACUGAGUUUUUUUAUUUAGUAUCAACCUUUUUUCAUAGUCAAAUGUGAAAUCAGACUUUUUUAUCUGUUCCUGAUUCGCUCUUUAAUAUAUUGUCUGAAAAAAAUUGAAGAGCAUAUUGAUAAAUGGGAGGGGACAAUUCAAUUGUUCAUUGGCGGCGCAAUAUAGCAACACAACGUUACCUAUGUGCAAGUUUAAAGAAGGUGAUCAGUGCGCACCAGAGAGACUACACGUCGAGCCUAACAAGACUUACCGAAUCAGACUCGCCAGCUCCACCGCUCUUGCCUCCCUCAACUUGGCUGUUCAGGUUCUAAUUAUUAAUGUUCUUUCUUCUUUUUUUUUUUUGCUUUUCAUAAUUCAUUAAAGAAAAAUCUUUAGAAAAACCAACGAUUUUUAAAAAUAUGAUUCAUAUGAUCGUAUGAUCGAUUUUAGCUAUGUAAAAAUAUGAGUCAUAUGAUCGAUUUAGCUAUGUAAAAAUAUGAGUCAUAUAGUCGAUUUUUUUUUUGUUUUUGGUUUUAAAAAUAUGACCGAUUUCUAACCAAAAUAAUACUAUAUAUUUUUAUAUACGUUGACAAGAAAAGAAAAUUAAAUGGUUUUCAGUAUGGGUCAUGGUCAUUUGGCAAUUCCAAACCCUAAACCCUUUUUCUGGCUGGAAGUCGUCAAUAAAUAUGACCAUUUAGUCACACACAAAAUAAGUAACAUAGUGUGGCGAUUUCUUCAUUUAGAGAAAGAUGACAAACUAGUAACCAUAAUAAUUAUAUAUAAAGGAAGCUAAAGAAAUUAAAAAGAGAAUGGCAGGCCAUCUUAAAUAAUGUUGAUAGUUUCAGAGUAUUUAUAUGAGUUGGUACUUUUGACUACAGAGUGAUGGUGUAGGUCCUUUAGAUUCUCUUUUCUAUUCCCUAGGCCCAUUGGGAAAAAUAAUACAAUUAUAUUAUUAUUACGGUGUAUGCAUGGUCUACAAACUUUUUUUUUUGGACACCCAAUAAAUAUCUACGUAUAUAUAAAUAUUAUAUUUAUAUAGAGAUGUGUGCAUUCUAAUCGUUCCGUAGAGAGAGGGAUUCUGGUUAGAGUGGUCUCGAUCAAUUUGGGUAUUGACCUUUGACACCCACCCAACUCAUGUUCCAUUCAAUUCUGCUAAUUACUCGAAAAAGCUGUCGUUCGUCUUAUCUCCUCGUCUACGGAUAUUUCAUUUUCAAAGUAAUUUUUCGAUUUUAUAGUUUUUCAAGACACAACUUAAUAGUAUCAACUAUCAACUUAAUAGUUUUUACAGUAACAAAACAAAAAAGGUAGAAGUUCGAAAGAAUAAUUUUCAUUUCUGUUUCCCAAAUUCCUUUAUAAUCUUUCGAAUUAAGCGUUUUGUAUCCCUUUUGAGUUUUGACUUUUACGAGAUCAAUUUUUUAAAAAAAUCUUAAAAAAAAAAAAAAUAGAGAUCUUCUUUAAGUUAUGGUAUAUGGGCCCAUUUACAAGGCCUACGUAUCGGUCCAAGAGUAUAUUGUUAUUCAAAAGAAAAAAAAAAACGUUGUCGAUCACACGUGUGUUGGUUUUUACACGUGCAGGGACACAAGCUAGUGGUGGUAGAGGCCGACGGAAACUACAUUACGCCGUUCGUCACCGACGAUAUCGAUAUAUAUUCCGGCGAGAGCUACUCUGUUCUCCUCACCACCGACCAAGACCCUUCCCAGAACUACUGGAUCUCCGUCGGCGUCCGCGGCCGGAAACCCAACACACCUCCGGCACUCACUGUUUUAAAUUACGUAACUGCCCCUUCCUCCAAACCCCCUUCCUCUCCGCCGCCGGUGACUCCGCAAUGGAACGAUUUCGAACGGAGCAAGAAUUUCUCGAAGAAGAUAUUCGCAGCGAUGGGAUCUCCGUCGCCGCCGAGGAAAUUCAAAAAACGAUUGAUCCUCCUCAACACUCAGAAUCUGAUCGAUGGAUCCACCAAGUGGGCUAUCAACAACGUCUCUCUUGCGGUUCCGGGAACGCCAUAUCUCGGAUCCGUCAAGUACAAAUUGAAACGCGGAUUCAACUGGAAAUCGCCGCCGACGACUUUCCCGAUGGAUUACGACAUCAUGAAUCCGCCGCGAUAUAAUAGCACAAAGCAAGGAAACGGGAUUUACGCUUUCCCGUUCAACGUAACCGUCGACGUGAUUCUUCAAAACGCCAACGGCUUAAACGCAAACGCCAGCGAGAUACAUCCGUGGCAUCUACACGGCCACGAUUUCUGGAUUUUGGGUUACGGCGAAGGGAAAUUCAGACCUGGAAUCGACGAGAAGACGUAUAAUCUGAAGAAUCCGCCGUUAAAGAAUACGGUGGCGUUAUACCCGUAUGGAUGGACGGCGUUAAGAUUCGUAACGGACAAUCCUGGGGUUUGGUUUUUUCACUGCCACAUCGAACCGCAUUUGCAU